GCAACUCGUCAUACACCUACAGGGCAAAUUCUUGGUUCUUGUAUCUACAUCCAGCUGGGGCUGGGUUAAAACCAUAUGUGAUCAUUUCAGAAUCCCUACAGCGCUCUCUAGGAGACCAGCUGCGUGCUUACCGGAUCAAAGGCCCAAGGAGCUUUUCUGGAUGGUCUUGAGGUGAUGCCUUGUGACUUUGAGUUUUCCCUGAAUGCCAACCAAUACAACAGGCAGGAGUUAGGAAACCUUGGCUACUGAGGUUGAUGUGGAAGGAGGAGGCGGUCUUAUAUUGGCUGGGAACCUACUACAGUGCCAGGAAUUUCACAAGGGAGGUAAUACCAUUGCACCGGAAAGUGCCCUAUAAUCCCAGCCACACAGGAGGCUGAGG